UACAGAGGGGGCAAGCGUUGUUCGGAAUUACUGGGCGUAAAGGGCGCGUAGGCGGCCUUCUAAGUCGAACGUGAAAUCCCCGGGCUCGAACCCGGGAACCUGCGUCCGAUACUGGAAGGCUUGAAUCCGGGAGAGGGAUGUGGAAUUCCAGGUGUAGCGGUGAAAUGCGUAGAUAUCUGGAGGAACACCGGUGGCGAAGGCGACAUCCUGGGAC
rnacentral:rRNA from 1 species